AGCCGCGUCCGCGCUCAGCGGGCGGUCACGGUCCCGGUCGCGCUGCGCCUCGCAGGGGAGGUGAAAUCGCCGCCCUCACCUGGUCCCGUUAAAGCAGCUGAGUACAGCAGGGGACUCGGGAUUUUGCUGACGGGUGUAAAGCAAAGAGUAAGUGAAGCUCUGGUGUAAUUACUACCUACCAAGACAAAAAUUACAAGAACCCAGUUAUCUUUUGUCCAAAGGUUGACAAACUGUUCAUAGCAAAACACAGAGACAUCAGUACAGUUAUCACAGGAUUUUGAUGGAGAUGAUGGAGGCUGGUGAAGAUGUGGGAAGAAAAGGCAGGGGCCCUUUUCCCCCCUUUGUUUCCAUCACACUAUCCCUUUCAAAAUGAAAAACUAGAACACAUUACAGAAAAGGAGAAAAGAGUUUUCUUCCAAUGCCAGCCUUUUCACUCUCCCAUUGUCUUUUCCCUUCCAUGCAAUUUCAUUCACCCAACCCACCAGUUCACCAGCACUUAUCCUCAUUCCCAAAGUCACUCAUUUUCCCCAUUCACAACUCCAUUCACUCCCCUGAUUCACCCAUUCCCGGCAUUCAACCACACUCUCAUCCAUAUUUCCCCACACCUAACCCUACCCAUGUCCCUCAUCUCAGAACCUGCUACAUCUCCAGGACUCCCUCAAACCUAACACCAUGGCUCUGAGAACCCCAAUUGCCACCUGACCACUCCCAGAAGCCUUAGAACCCCUCUUGAUAGCCCCAUAUGCUGCCAGUCAGAACCACUCCUCAAUUCCCUAGCUCUAAACCUCACUCUGACCCCAGCUCAAACACUUCCUGCCCUUGAAGCUCAGAAAUAAACCUGAGCACAAAAUCCCCCUCCCUUUUCUACACACAGCAUUGAAGUCUGCUGGCUCUGAAACCCCUUCACCCUAAAUCCCCAUUCAGUCUCACAAGUUUGGGCUGAAAAUAAAGGAUAUCCACUGUAAUGCAGGACGGUGGAAAGGUUUGGUCCUUUUCUUCCCUUUUUUGGAGAAUCAAGGAAAUAAUAGCUGGACUAGAGACAUGGA